rnacentral:rRNA from 1 species
UACGUAGGGUGCGAGCGUUAAUCGGAAUUACUGGGCGUAAAGCGCGCGUAGGCGGCUUUGCAAGUCGGGUGUGAAAUCCCCAGGCUUAACCUGGGAACUGCAUUCGAGACUGCAUUGCUAGAGUAUGGGAGAGGGAUGCAGAAUUCCAGGUGUAGCGGUGAAAUGCGUAGAUAUCUGGAGGAAUACCGGUGGCGAAGGCGGCAUCCUGGACCGGCAUUGACGCUGAGGAGCGAAAGCUAGGGGAGCAAACGGGG